GGGUCGUUAGCUCAACGGUAGAGCAGUUGCCUCUUAAGCAAUUGGUUGCAGGUUCAAAUCCUGCACGACCCA
rnacentral:tRNA from 1 species